ACCUCGAAGACCAGUUAGGCGUGUAACGGCCGCGUGUUUAGGGUUAACCGAUGACUAGGGCU
rnacentral:rRNA from 1 species